rnacentral:rRNA from 1 species
AUUGAACGCUGGCGGCGUGCCUAACACAUGCAAGUCGAGCGGUAACAGGCGUAGCAAUACGUGCUGACGAGCGGCGAACGGGUGAGCAAUGCUUCGGAAUCUGCCCAAUGAUGGGGAAUAACCAGUCGAAAGAUUGGCUAAUACCGCAUAAGCCCUUCGGGGAAAGCGGGGUCGCAAGACCUCGCGUCGAUGGAUGAGCCGAAGUCGGAUUAGCUAGUUGGUAGGGUAACGGCCUACCAAGGCGACGAUCCGUAGCUGGUCUGAGAGGAC